AAGGCAACGACGGGUAGCUGGUUUGAGAGAACGAUCAGCCACACUGGAACUGAGACACGGUCCAGACUCCUACGGGAGGCAGCAGUGGGGAAUCUUGCGCAAUGGGCGAAAGCCUGACGCAGCAACGCCGCGUGCGGGAUGACGGCCUUCGGGUUGUAAACCGCUUUCAGCAGGGACGAAGAUGACGGUACCUGCAGAAGAAGCUCCGGCUAACUACGUGCCAGCAGCCGCGGUAAUACGUAGGGGGCAAGCGUUGUCCGGAUUUAUUGGGCGUAAAGAGCUCGUAGGCGGUUCCGUAAGUCGAGUGUGAAAAAUCUGGGCUCAACCCAGUGAAGCACUCGAUACUGCGGUGACUAGAGUACGGUAGAGGAGUGUGGAAUUCCUGGUGUAGCGGUGAAAUGCGCAGAUAUCAGGAGGAACACCAACGGCGAAGGCAGCACUCUGGGCCGGUACUGACGCUGAGGAGCGAAAGCGUGGG
rnacentral:rRNA from 1 species